UAAGAAGAAGCAUGACAGGAUAUUUUUCUUUAUACCCAACGCUCGUCAUCACCACAAGUGUUCACCCGAAUGUCCGUCUUUUACUCGUUCAAUAAUGACGUUAGUUUGUCAACCUGUCCAAUGCAGAACCAGAAUAAGGGCGAAAUGUCAGAACGCGCCCGUUUGGGAUAAAGUGCGGGACGGGUUUGGAUUGUAAACGCGCGUGCGCCUUCGCCCGUGAAGAUGUGCGCGAGAGACGGCGACCUCCUCGCGCUUGCGCCCGUUCUAUUUGCGUUCGCCUUCGUCAGUUGGUACGCCUUCAGUCAGUCGCGAAACUCUGCCGGCCGCCUGGCGCGCUUCUCCCGACGCCCCGAAAUACUCGCCCGCCGCGCCCGGCCGCGCGCGUGCGCGAGCCAUGGCUGACCAGCCGUCGCGUCCGCCGCCUAACAAUUUACUCUUCUGCGGGCCCCCACCCGCCCUUCCGCCCGUACUUCUCUUACCGGCGAACUAUACGCUCGAACCACCAGCACUGCCUGCCCAACCUGACAGUGCCCCAACUCUAACAAACAAUGAAAAUAAUCUGCACGAAAUAAACAACGUGGGUGUGCCAACUUACAACACUCAAUUUCAAACACACGCUGAUGACCCUGAGCCACAGAAGGAACUUUAUACGCAGCCUGUAUUACCAGCAUUCAACAACAAUUUUAGAAGAACAAAUAGUUUCGAUGCAUCAUACAUAUACAAUGAAUUAGAAAAUGAAAUUGAAAUUACACCACGCCUAUGUAGGUCUGAGCCUGACUUAUCUAGAUGUGGGUUGAUGGCUGAAUCUGAAGUUUUUGUAGAAUAUGAACCCCACAAAGGGCAUAUAGCAGGGGCUCCACUUGUACUUAAUAAUCCCUUUUAUGAUGGAUCGUACGCCCUAGGCCCCGCGCAAUACAGCCAACCAAUUGUCAUGUUACCGGAUAAUUACAUGGCGUUUGAAGACUGUUUCGUACCGACUUGGGAUUACAAACCAGAACAAUUUGUUGAUAGAGAAAUGUUUUAUGACGGUUUAUCCAUGAUACCGUCCAACGAUCCUUGGGCCAUUAUGCAGUAUGGCACAGACAAUGCUGCAUUUGAUUAUUACACUCCCCAUUAUGUGGAAAACCCAAUUGAAGAUCAUAAGGAUAUACGUUAUAUGCCAUUGAGUGACAUAGACUACGCGAUACCUCAGUACAUGAGUUUGCCAGUGGUAGAAGACCCUAAAGUUGAAACUUUUACGGAUAGUCAUAUCCAAGCGUCAUCAGCACCUAGUACUCUUAAUAACGAGCAAACAUCAGAAGUCGACAAAAGUUUGCGAAACGCAGACGAUCAAAAUUUACGCACUGAAAAUGCAAAUACAACUUGUCUUUCAAAUAUUACUAACCAAGAAACUGGCGGUAAUGAAAGAAUUAGUGGUCUUGGCUCUUUCACCGAAAACAGACAAUCAUCUAUUCAAAGCGAAGAGUCGUUAAUCGCAGAUACGUCGAUCGAUGUUACGUCUAGCUUGGCAUUCGUACCGACCAGCCAAAGUUCAGAGACGCCGCUCGCCGGCGACGCCACCAGCGACGACGACACGUCCCCGUCCUCCACCGACUACCACGAGGCUUCUGCCCUCGACCUAGCUCAAAGCCUCGACGAACUCUCUUCAUGUGAAAGCACAGACUUUUCACAAAGUAGGGACGAGGUUUCGCCGCUUAUUCCUAAUCCUCCUAAAUUUAACGAAAUAGUGCCAAGUGAUGUUAGUAACAAUGUGAAAGUUGAAAGCGUUGUUUUAAAUAAAACACCAGUUGAUAUUCCUAAUCUGCUCAUUCCAAAUAAUAACAAGGUGCCUAUAAUUAAUGUAACUAAUAGUUUACCAGAUAGGAUAGACUUUGAUAAAGACGUAACACCAGGCAUAUCAGUUAAAAACCACGCCAUUGAGACUGUCACUGAAAAUCAUGAACAAGUUAUAAAAGUGAGUGAAUAUAAUGAAAAAAAUAUAUCUAAGGAAGUUAGUCAAAUUGUGAAUAGCAGUGCUGGAAAAGUCAGUGGCCCCGAAACAUCGCCCCUAACACCGCCUCAUCCGCCAGCAGUGCCGUCUUCUUGGUUAACUAAUAAAACAUCGGUCUGUGACAGUGAGAAAGAUACAGUGCUUCCCUCAUCACCUCAGAUUCAAAUAGAAUAUGCAGAGGCGUCAACAGUAGGGGAGAAGGAUGCUAAACUUCCGGCAAAGGAAUCAUCUUACGAGAGCAAGCUGGUUCCCAAGCCUUCCUGCUCUUUUGUGCCGCUUGUUGUACCUCCACACGUGCCCCAAUUCAAGCCCAAAGAACCACCUAAAGAAGUAGAGACAAAAUCAUCGACACGCUCGGUGAGGGCACGUUCGGCAAAGUGGUGGAGGUGAAAGAUUUAGAAAUGGAACACAGAAUGGCUCUGAAGAUAAUAAAAAAUGUAGAAAAGUACAGAGAGGCUGCGAAACUAGAAAUAAAUGUAUUAGAAAAGUUAGCUGAAGUUGACCCAGACUGUAAAAACUUAUGUGUAAAAAUGUUAGACUGGUUC
rnacentral:misc_RNA from 1 species